rnacentral:rRNA from 1 species
CAGCACCUCAAGUGGUCAGGAUGAUCAUUGGGCCUAAAGCAUCCGUAGCCGGCUCUGUAAGUUUUCGGUUAAAUCUGUACGCUUAACGUACAGGCCGCCGGGAAUACUGCAGAGCUAGGGAGUGGGAGAGGUAGACGGUACUCGGUAGGAAGGGGUAAAAUCCUUUGAUCUAUUGAUGACCACCUGUGGCGAAGGCGGUCUACCAGAACACGUCCGACGGUGAGGGAUGAAAGCUGGGGGAGCAAACCGGAUUAGAUACCCGUGUAGUCC